rnacentral:rRNA from 1 species
GAUGAACGCUAGCGGCAGGCCUAACACAUGCAAGUCGAGGGGGAGGUUACUUUCGGGUAACUGAGACCGGCGUACGGGUGCGUAACGCGUAUACAAUCUGCCUUUCACUGGGGGAUAGCCCGAAGAAAUUUGGAUUAAUACCCCAUAGUAUAGUAAUACGGCAUCGUGAUGCUAUUAAAGCUUAGGUGGUGAAAGAUGAGUAUGCGUUCUAUUAGCUAGUUGGAGAGGUAACGGCUCCCCAAGGCGAUGAUAGAUAGGGGUUCUGAGAGGGAUGUCCCCCACACUGGUACUGAGAUACGGACCAGACUCCUACGGGAGGCAGCAGUGAGGAAUAUUGGACAAUGGUCGGAAGACUGAUCCAGCCACGCCGCGUGCAGGAUGAAGGUCUUAUGGAUUGUAAACUGCUUUUGUAAGGGAAGAAUAAGGGCUACGCGUAGUUUGAUGACGGUACCUUACGAAUAAGCAUCGGCUAACUCCGUG